CAACCAUCAAGCCCCGGGCUUGUGUUGGGGACCUGCGGCUGCCGCAGGCCCUGAAAACCAGUGGCGGGCUCGCUAGUCACCCCGAGCGUAGUAGUUUACACCUCGCUCAGGGCGUGCUGCGGGUUCCGGCCGUUAAAAAGCCUUAUUUACCCCAA
rnacentral:misc_RNA from 1 species